rnacentral:lncRNA from 1 species
GCAGACCAACCCAGGCGGCCCAGCGUGUACGGGGAAGAGGGCGGGGCUAGACGCGGCCUUGAUAACUACUAGAGCGCCUCGAGCUGUGCGGCUCGAAACUACGUUUCCCAGGGGGCCCGGCGCAGAGCGGGCCGGAAAGAGAGCGCCUCCGGGUCCAGUGCGCAGGUGCAGGAGCCAUAGCUGGUUAUAUAAAGGAGGU